AUUGAACGCUGGCGGCAGGCCUAACACAUGCAAGUCGAACGAGUGGCGGACGGGUGAGUAAUGUCUGGGAAACUGCCCGAUGGAGGGGGAUAACUACUGGAAACGGUAGCUCAUACCGCAUACCAUCGGAUGUGCCCAGAUGGGAUUAGCUAGUAGGUGGGGUACUGGCUCACCUAGGCGACGAUCCCUAGCUGGUUUGAGAGGAUGACCAGCCACACUGGAACUGAGACACGGACCAGACUCCUACGGGAGGAAGCAGUGGGGAAUAUUGCACAAUGGGCGCAAGCCUGAUGCAGCCAUGCCGCGUGUAUGAAGAAGGCUUUCGGGUUGUAAAGUACUUUCAGCGAGGAGGCGUUACCCGCAGAAGAAGCAACGGCUAACUCCGUGCCAGCCGCCGCGGUAAUUC
rnacentral:rRNA from 1 species